ensembl:snoRNA
AAGCAACACUCUGUGGCAGAUGAUCAAAAUUGUCUGGCACAAUUUGAGCUUGCUAUAGCAAGAAAGUCUAACCUAUUCCGGUGUUCUCUCUUCUGUGAGACAAGCCGUUAUAUGGACUUUAACAGC